AAUCUUGUAGUUUAAUUAAAACAUUAAAUUGCAAAUUUAACAAUGAAUAUAGAUUUCUAAGAUUU
rnacentral:tRNA from 1 species